UACGGAGGGUGCAAGCGUUAUCCGGAUUCACUGGGUUUAAAGGGUGCGUAGGUAGGCAGGUAAGUCAGUGGUGAAAUCCCCGAGCUUAACUUGGGAACUGCCGUUGAUACUAUCUGUCUUGAAUAUCGUGGAGGUUAGCGGAAUAUGUCAUGUAGCGGUGAAAUGCAUAGAGAUGACAUAGAACACCAAUUGCGAAGGCAGCUGGCUACACGGUAAUUGACACUGAGGCACGAAAGCGUGGGGAGCAAACAGG
rnacentral:rRNA from 1 species